rnacentral:rRNA from 1 species
AGUGAACGCUGGCGGUAGGCCUAACACAUGCAAGUCGAACGGCAGCACAGUAAGAGCUUGCUCUUACGGGUGGCGAGUGGCGGACGGGUGAGGAAUACAUCGGAAUCUACUUUUUCGUGGGGGAUAACGUAGGGAAACUUACGCUAAUACCGCAUACGACCUACGGGUGAAAGCAGGGGAUCUUCGGACCUUGCGCGAUUGAAUGAGCCGAUGUCGGAUUAGCUAGUUGGCGGGGUAAAGGCCCACCAAGGCGACGAUCCGUAGCUGGUCUGAGAGGAUGAUCAGCCACGCUGGAACUGAGACACGGUCCAGACUCCUACGGGAGGCAGCAGUGGGGAAUAUUGGACAAUGGGCGGAAGCCUGAUCCAGCCAUACCGCGUGGGUGAAGAAGGCCUUCGGGUUGUAAAGCCCUUUUGUUGGGAAAGAAAAGCAGCAGGUUAAUACCCCGCUGUUCUGACGGUACCCAAAGAAUAAGCACCGGCUAACUUCGUG